rnacentral:rRNA from 1 species
ACGACACUUUGAGCUCGAGGCUCAUUAGCAUCUCGGGCGCGAAUACAUUAGCAUGGGAUAAUGGAAUAGGACCCUGUCCUCCUAUUUUCAGUUGGUUUUGGCAGCGCGAGGACUAGGGUAAUGAUUAAUAGGGAUAGUUGGGGGCAUUAAUAUUUAAUUGUCAGAGGUGAAAUUCUUGGAUUUAUGAAAGAUUAACUUCUGCGAAAGCAUCUGCCAAGGAUGUUUUCAUUAAUCAAGAACGAAAGUUAGGGGAUCGAAGACGAUCAGAUACCGUCGUAGUCUUAACCAUAAACGAUGCCGACCAGCGAUUAGGAGACGUUGAAUACAAAACACCACCAUCGGUUGCGGUCGUCCUUGGCGUCUCGGUUUCGGCCGGGGCGCGGGGACGGUUUAGCCCGGUGGCACCGGUGAAUGACUCCCCUAGCAGCUUGUGAGAA